AUUCUCCCGCCUCAGCCUCCCUCAGCGUCCGGAGUAGCUAGGACUACAGGCGCCCGCUACCACGCCCGGCUAAUUUUUUUGUAGUUUUAGUAGAGACGGGGUUUCACCGUGUUAGCCAGGAUGGUCUCCAUCUCCUGACCUCGUGAUCCGCCCGCCUCGGCCUCCCAAAGCGUUGGGAUUACAGGAGUGAGCCACCGCGCCCGGCCGAUUCUUGAAGAAACUGCUCUCAUAAGCUAAGGUUCCUUAUGAUUCUGCAAGGAAGAGAAGACUAAAGCAAAUCACUGUCUGAAAACAUAACAGCUGGCUAAAGCUGGAGUGCAGUGGCAUGAUCUCGGCUCACUGCAACCUCCGCCUCCCGGGUUCAAGUGAUUCUCCUGCCUCAGCCUCCCAAAUAGCUGUGAUUACAGGUCACAGUGUCCAUGUAACUAACUCCUGGUUAAGAGGAUAUGGAUAGAAGGCACAUGUUCAACUUCUGGCUUCUGUCCUUGAAAAGUGUGAUGAUUCCAUCCUUUGCUGUCUUCCUUCCCGCUGACUGGAAUGUGGACUUGGUAGUGAGCUACCUUGGACUAUGUGGAUGAAGACAAAGAU
rnacentral:lncRNA from 1 species